rnacentral:rRNA from 1 species
AACGAACGCUGGCGGCAUGCCUAACACAUGCAAGUCGAACGAGAUCUUCGGGUCUAGUGGCGCACGGGUGCGUAACGCGUGGGAAUCUGCCCUUUGGUUCGGAAUAACAGUUGGAAACGACUGCUAAUACCGGAUGAUGACGAAAGUCCAAAGAUUUAUCGCCAGAGGAUGAGCCCGCGUAGGAUUAGCUAGUUGGUGUGGUAAAGGCGCACCAAGGCGACGAUACUUAGCUGGUCUGAGAGGAUGAACAGCCACACUGGGACUGAGACACGGCCCAGACUCCUACGGGAGGCAGCAGUGGGGAAUAUUGGACAAUGGGCGAAAUCCUGAUCCAGCAAUGCCGCGUGAGUGAUGAAGGCCUUAGGGUUGUAAAGCUCUUUUACCCGGGAUGAUAAUGACAGUACCGGGAGAAUAAGCUCUGGCUAACUCCGUGCCAGCAGCCGCCGUAA